rnacentral:RNase_P_RNA from 1 species
UAAGUAGAUCGCCUUAUCGAUUCUAAAUUUAUUUAGGGUAGGAAAGUCCGAACACCAUAGUGCAAUCAUAGUGGUUAACAGCCACCAGUCGUAAGGCUAGGAAAAGUGCAACAGAAAGUAUGUACAGGUAAUGCUGUAGUGAAACCAGGUAAACUCUAUGUGGUGCAAUGUCAUGUAUACUAACGUUUGAGCGUACACGCGCGAUUGUUAGAGGGUAGGCAGCUAAAGUUUGCUGGCAACAGUAAACGUAGAUAAAUGAUAAGGGCUCUUUUAUUAGAGUACAGAAUUCGGCUUAUAGAUUUACUUAAGCA